GAUGAACGCUGACAGAAUGCUUAACACAUGCAAGUCAACUUGAACUUCGGUUUGGGUGGCGGACGGGUGAGUAACGCGUAAAGAACUUGCCUCACAGAUAGGGACAACAUUUGGAGACGAAUGCUAAUACCUGAUAUUAUGAUUUUAGGGCAUCCUAGGAUUAUGAAAGCUAUAUGCGCUGUGAGAGAGCUUUGCGUCCCAUUAGCUAGUUGGAGAGGUAACGGCUCACCAAGGCGAUGAUGGGUAGCCGGCCUGAGAGGGUGAUCGGCCACAAGGGGACUGAGACACGGCCCUUACUCCUACGGGAGGCAGCAGUGGGGAAUAUUGGACAAUGGACCAAGAGUCUGAUCCAGCAAUUCUGUGUGCACGAUGAAGUUUUUCGGAAUGUAAAGUGCUUUCAGUUGGGAAGAAAAAAAUGACGGUACCAACAGAAGAAGUGACGGCUAAAUACGUG
rnacentral:rRNA from 1 species